CACGUAGGAGGCGAGCGUUGUCCGGAAUAAUUGGGCGUAAAGAGCGCGCAGGCGGCUUGGCAAGUCGGGUGUGAAAUCCCGGGGCUCAACCCCGUGACUGCAUCCGAUACUGUCAGGCUAGAGGUAGGUAGGGGAGAUCGGAAUUCCUGGUGUAGCGGUGAAAUGCGCAGAUAUCAGGAGGAACACCGGUGGCGAAGGCGGAUCUCUGGGCCUUACCUGACGCUCAGGCGCGAGAGCUAGGGGAGCGAACAGG
rnacentral:rRNA from 1 species